GGACUACUCGGGUUUCUAAUCCCGUUUGCUCCCCUGGCUUUCGCGCCUCAGCGUCAAUACCGGUCCAGGAUGCCGCCUUCGCCACCGGUGUUCCUCCAGAUAUCUACGCAUUUCACCGCUACACCUGGAAUUCCACAUCCCUCUCCCGGAUUCAAGCCUCCCAGUAUCGGACGCAGUUCCCGGGUUGAGCCCGGGGAUUUCACGUUCGACUUAAGAGGCCGCCUACGCGCCCUUUACGCCCAGUAAUUCCGAACAACGCUCGCCCCCUCUGUAUUACCGCGGCUGCUGGCAC
rnacentral:rRNA from 1 species